AUUGAACGCUGGCGGCAUGCCUUACACAUGCAAGUCGAACGGCAGCACGGGUGCUUGCACCUGGUGGCGAGUGGCGCACGGGUGAGUAAUACAUCGGAACAUGUCCUGUAGUGGGGGGUAGCCCGACGAAAGCCGGAUUAAUACCGCAUACGAACUACGGAUGAAAGCGGGGGCCCUUCGGGCCUCGCGCGAUAGGGUUGGCCGAUGGCUGAUUAGCUAGUUGGUGGGGUAAAGGCCUACCAAGGCGACGAUCAGUAGCUGGUCUGAGAGGACGACCAGCCACACUGGGACUGAGACACGGCCCAGACUCCUACGGGAGGCAGCAGUGGGGAAUUUUGGACAAUGGGCGAAAGCCUGAUCCAGCAAUGCCGCGUGUGUGAAGAAGGCCUUCGGGUUGUAAAGCACUUUUGUCCGGAAAGAAAUCCUUGGCCCUAAUACGGUCGGGGGAUGACGGUACCGGAAGAAUAAGCACCGGCUAACUACGUG
rnacentral:rRNA from 1 species